UCUUCUUAUUGCGUGCAAACAAAGUGAACUACCAAUCACUUUUUAAUCUCCUACAACUAAAAAGACUAAAACUAGGACAAUUUUUUGGUGCGGCUUUCGUUUCGUCCUUCUGCCGUCCCCUUCGUGCGUCCGCGUCUCCGGCUAAACUUGGAAACCUCCAUCCCUCCGUGAUACCCUCCCCUUUCCUAUCUUCACCGUGAGCAGACCCGCGAUCCCCUUCCCCUUUCCAAUGCGAGCACACACCAAAGACCCCC
rnacentral:lncRNA from 1 species